rnacentral:tRNA from 1 species
GCCGAUUUAGCUCACCCGGUAGAGCAGCGCAUUCGUAACGCGCAGGUACUCAGUUCAAGUCUGGGAAUCGGCU